rnacentral:lncRNA from 1 species
CUCCUUCCCUCCCUUUUUUUCUUUCUUUCUUUCUUUCUUUCUUUCUUUCUUUCUUUCUUUCUUUCUUUCUUUCUUUCUUUCUUUCUUUCUUUCUUUCUUUCUUUCUUUCUUUCUUUCUUUCUUUCUCUUUCUUUCUUUCUUUCUUUUUUUGCAGAUUCAUCCCAUUACUUCUAUUAUUAAUAAUUUCUUCCACAUUCAUUUGUACUCAGUCAUAUUAAUGCAU